rnacentral:rRNA from 1 species
CCUGAGAAAUCCAAAAGUUCGAAUGGAGAGAUUCAGCGUCAGCGUCAAGUUGGCUUGCGUGUGACUCGCGAUGCUCGCGCGUGCGAUGCUUUCGGGUGUUUAGCACGCGCGUGGCACGCGGUUGCUGCGUCAUGUCCAACGACGACGGCGUGCACUUCUCUCCUAGUAGGACGUCGCGACCCGUUGGGUUUGAUGCGCGGUCAAAGGCCCGUACGGUAGACUGUUGCGCACACGCGCGGCAGACCAUCGGUGUUCCAACCCGACCGACUGCCCGGCGGUAUUGAAAGUAAUUUAUCAAGAUUGGUAUCGAGCCGCACAACUUGUUGAAUGCGUUCGGCUUGACGAUUGACCGGAGCUCGCUCGGAUUUUACGGACCUGGUGCCGUUGUCGUGCGCUUGACUCGGUUUUGAUCGUCAAUGUCCUCGAACUGGCUCAAAAAUAUUAUGCAUACCGGUCAGCGACGCUUUUGCUUUGGAUACUUUCAGG